UACGGAGGGGGCAAGCGUUGACCGGAAUUAUUGGGCGUAAAGCGCGCGCAGGCGGCCCUUUAAGUCUGAUGUGAAAUCUUGGGGCUCAACCGCAAGCGGUCAUCGGAAACUGGCGGACUUGAGUACAGAAGAGGAGAGCGGAAUUCCACGUGUAGCGGUGAAAUGCGUAGAGAUGUGGAGGAACACCAGUGGCGAAGGCGGCUCUCUGGUCUGUCACUGACGCUGAGGCGCGAAAGCGUGGGGAGCAAACAGG
rnacentral:misc_RNA from 1 species